UACGAAGGGUGCAAGCGUUACUCGGAAUUACUGGGCGUAAAGCGUGCGUAGGUGGUGAGUUAAGUCUGAUGUGAAAUCCCCGGGCUCAACCUGGGAAUGGCAUUGGAUACUGGCUCGCUAGAGUGCGGUAGAGGGUGGUGGAAUUCCCGGUGUAGCAGUGAAAUGCGUAGAGAUCGGGAGGAACAUCUGUGGCGAAGGCGGCCACCUGGAUCAACACUGACACUGAGGCACGAAAGCGUGGGUAGCAAACAGG
rnacentral:rRNA from 1 species